GGGUUGUGAGGUUAAGCGACUAAGCGUACACGGUGGAUGCCCUGGCAGUCAGAGGCGAUGAAGGACGUGCUAAUCUGCGAUAAGCGCCGGUAAGGUGAUAUGAACCGUUAUAACCGGCGAUUUCCGAAUGGGGAAACCCAGUGUGACUCGUCACACUAUCAUUAACUGAAUCCAUAGGUUAAUGAGGCGAACCGGGGGAACUGAAACAUCUAAGUACCCCGAGGAAAAGAAAUCAACCGAGAUUCCCCCAGUAGCGGCGAGCGAACGGGGAGGAGCCCAGAGCCUGAAUCAGCAUGUGUGUUAGUGGAAGCGUCUGGAAAGGCGCGCGAUACAGGGUGACAGCCCCGUACACAAAAGCGCAUGUGUUGUGAGCUCGAUGAGUAGGGCGGGACACGUGGUAUCCUGUCUGAAUAUGGGGGGACCAUCCUCCAAGGCUAAAUACUCCUGACUGACCGAUAGUGAACCAGUACCGUGAGGGAAAGGCGAAAAGAACCCCGGCGAGGGGAGUGAAAAAGAACCUGAAACCGUGUACGUACAAGCAGUGGGAGCACCCUUCGGGGUGUGACUGCGUACCUUUUGUAUAAUGGGUCAGCGACUUAUAUUCUGUAGCAAGGUUAACCGAAUAGGGGAGCCGGAGGGAAACCGAGUCUUAACCGGGCGUUAAGUUGCAGGGUAUAGACCCGAAACCCGGUGAUCUAGCCAUGGGCAGGUUGAAGGUUGGGUAACACUAACU
rnacentral:rRNA from 1 species